UCAGAUUGAACGCUGGCGGCAGGCUUAACACAUGCAAGUCGAGCGGUAACAGGAGAAGCUUGCUUCUCGCUGACGAGCGGCGGACGGGUGAGUAAUACUUAGGAAUCUACCUAGUAGUGGGGGAUAGCACGGGGAAACUCGUAUUAAUACCGCAUACGACCUACGGGAGAAAGGGGGCAGUUUACUGCUCUCGCUAUUAGAUGAGCCUAAGUCGGAUUAGCUAGAUGGUGGGGUAAAGGCCUACCAUGGCGACGAUCUGUAGCUGGUCUGAGAGGAUGAUCAGCCACACCGGGACUGAGACACGGCCCGGACUCCUACGGGAGGCAGCAGUGGGGAAUAUUGGACAAUGGGGGAAACCCUGAUCCAGCCAUGCCGCGUGUGUGAAGAAGGCCUUUUGGUUGUAAAGCACUUUAAGCAGUGAAGAAGACUCCAUGGUUAAUACCCAUGGACGAUGACAUUAGCUGCAGAAUAAGCACCGGCUAACUCUGUGCCAGCAGCCGCGGUAAUACAGAGGGUGCAAGCGUUAAUCGGAAUUACUGGGCGUAAAGGGAGCGUAGGUGGCUCUAUAAGUCAGAUGUGAAAUCCCCGGGCUUAACCUGGGAACUGCAUCUGAAACUGUAGAGCUAGAGUAUGUGAGAGGAAGGUAGAAUUCCAGGUGUAGCGGUGAAAUGCGUAGAGAUCUGGAGGAAUACCGAUGGCGAAGGCAGCCUUCUGGCAUAAUACUGACACUGAGGCUCGAAAGCGUGGGUAGCAAACAGGAUUAGAUACCCUGGUAGUCCACGCCGUAAACGAUGUCUACUAGUCGUUGGGUCCCUUGAGGACUUAGUGACGCAGCUAACGCAAUAAGUAGACC
rnacentral:rRNA from 1 species